UACGUAGGGGGCAAGCGUUGUCCGGAUUUACUGGGCGUAAAGGGCGUGUAGGCGGUCUGUUAAGUCUGGCGUGAAAGCUCUCGGCUAAACCGGGAGAGGUCGUUGGAUACUGGCAAACUAGAGGACGGUAGAGGCGUGUGGAAUUCCGGGUGUAGUGGUGAAAUGCGUAGAGAUCCGGAGGAACACCAGUGGCGAAGGCGACACGCUGGGCCGUACCUGACGCUAAAGCGCGACAGCAUGGGGAGCAAACGGG
rnacentral:rRNA from 1 species